GAUGAACGCUGGCGGCGUGCCUAAUACAUGCAAGUCGAGCGAACAGACGAGGAGCUUGCUCCUCUGACGUUAGCGGCGGACGGGUGAGUAACACGUGGAUAACCUACCUAUAAGACUGGGAUAACUUCGGGAAACCGGAGCUAAUACCGGAUAAUAUAUUGAACCGCAUGGUUCAAUAGUGAAAGACGGUUUUGCUGUCACUUAUAGAUGGAUCCGCGCCGCAUUAGCUAGUUGGUAAGGUAACGGCUUACCAAGGCAACGAUGCGUAGCCGACCUGAGAGGGUGAUCGGCCACACUGGAACUGAGACACGGUCCAGACUCCUAGGGGAGGCAGCAGUAGGGAAUCUUCCGCAAGGGGCGAAAGCCUGACGGAGCAACGCCGCGUGAGUGAUGAAGGUCUUCGGAUCGUAAAACUCUGUUAUUAGGGAAGAACAAAUGUGUAAGUAACUAUGCACGUCUUGACGGUACCUAAUAAGAAAGCCACGGCUAACUACGUG
rnacentral:rRNA from 1 species